rnacentral:rRNA from 1 species
UGAGCAAUCUGCCCAUCUCUUUGGAAUAAGCGUUGGAAACGACGUCUAAUGCCGAAUACGACCUCCUUUCGCAUGAUCGGAGGUGGAAAGCUCCGGCGGAGAAGGAUGAGCUCGCGGCCUAUCAGCUAGUUGGUGUGGGUAAUGGCCCACAAGGCGACGACGGGUAGCCGGCCUGAGGAGGGUGACCGGCCACACGUGGGACUGAGACACGGCCCAGACCUCCGUACGGGAGCA